AGGGAUGUAGCUCAGUGUGCAGCACCUGCCCGGCAAGCACGAGGCCCUGGGUUCGAUUCCCAGUACCGCCC
rnacentral:tRNA from 1 species